rnacentral:rRNA from 1 species
GACGAACGCUGGCGGCGUGCUUAACACAUGCAAGUCGAGCGAUGAAGCAGAGAAACGCUACCUUCGUUUCAAAUUUCACUUCGGAUUAGUGGCAGACGGGUGAGUAACGCGUGAGCAACCUACCUCUUACAAAGGGAUAGCCUCGGGAAACCGUGAUUAAUACCAUAUGACACAUUCAUAAGGCAUCUUAAGAAUGUUAAAGCUACGUCGGUAAGAGAUGGGCUCGCGUCCCAUUAGCUAGUUGGUGAGGUAACGGCCCACCAAGGCGACGAUGGGUAACCGGACUGAGAGGGUGAACGGUCACAUUGGAACUGAGACACGGUCCAAACUCCUACGGGAGGCAGCAGUGGGGAAUAUUGCACAAUGGAGGGAACUCUGAUGCAGCGACGCCGCGUGAGCGAUGAAGGAAUUCGUUUCGUAAAGCUCUGUUCUAUGGGAAGAAAAGGACUGUACCAUAGGAGAAAGCCCCGGCUAAAUACGUG